AGCCUUUAGCCAAACAAGUAUUAAAGGUAUCGCCUGCCCAGUGAAAUUUUUUAACGGCCGCGGUAUUCUAACCGUGCAAAGGUAGCGUAAUCACUUGUCUCCUAAAUAGAGACUUGUAUGAACGGCUAAAUGAGGACAGACCUGUCUCUUACAGCCAAUCAGUGAAACUGAUCUUUCAGUCCAAAAGCUGAAAUAACCACAUAAGACGAGAAGACCCUGUGGAGCUUCUAAACCAACUGCUAACAAAUGAAACUAGCAUAAGGUUUUAAGUUGGGGCGACUUCGGAACAAAAUAUAACUUCCGAGCACAAGAGCACCUCUCUUUUUCCCAGGCCAACAAGCCUAAAAAUAUUUAAACGACCCAGUCAUACUGACUUUCGAACCAAGUUACCCCAGGGAUAACAGCGCAAUCCUCUUCGAGAGUCCAUAUCGACAAGAGGGUUUACGACCUCGAUGUUGGAUCAGGACACCCAAAUGGUGUAGCCGCUAUUAAAGGUUCGUUUGUUCAACGAUUAACAGUCCUACG
rnacentral:rRNA from 1 species